AUUGAGACUAGAGUCACAUCUUGAUGUCUUCAGUCAUUGUGGUGUGCUAUAGUACUCGGAGAGAAAAACUGAUCUUUAUUCACUGACUUUGUUGUUCUGUAGCAAAGUCAGUCACCAGGUUAGUGACAGAC
ensembl:snoRNA small nucleolar RNA SNORA3/SNORA45 family